GAAACGCGCGGCCGCCCAGGGCUGCCAAUGCCCCGGCGGCGCUGUUCUGAACAAACUGUUUUGGCCAGCCUGUGAAAUCCCUGGAAAUUGACGAUUCCAGCAAAGCGUCGUGAACUGGGAAAGCACCAAGUGUUCUACUCAAAAGCCGCAAAGGGACAAAACAAGCUAGACCCGAGGCCCAGAUGAAGCGGAAGGAGGAGGCUUGCGAGAGGAAGUUCAAGGGGAAUUGGAGUUAUAGUGAGUGAAACAAGAUAAUUCCUGAAGAAGCAUACUUUGAAAAAAGUCUAAGGCUUGUGAAGAUACAGUGAGAAUGUGGCCAUCUGCAAGCCAGGAGGCAUGCCCUCAUCAAAACCUGAUCAUGCUGGCAUCUUCAUCUUGGAAUUUCAGCCUCCAGAACUAUAAGAAAAUAAAUCUCAAUUGGGC
rnacentral:lncRNA from 1 species